AUUGAACGCUGGCGGCAUGCCUUACACAUGCAAGUCGAACGGUAACGGGCCUUCGGGUGCCGACGAGUGGCGAACGGGUGAGUAAUACAUCGGAACGUGCCCGAUCGUGGGGGGUAACGAGGCGAAAGCUUUGCUAAUACCGCAUACGAUCUACGGAUGAAAGCAGGGGACCGCAAGGCCUUGCGCGGAUGGAGCGGCCGAUGGCAGAUUAGGUAGUUGGUGGGAUAAAAGCUUACCAAGCCGACGAUCUGUAGCUGGUCUGAGAGGAUGAUCAGCCACACUGGGACUGAGACACGGCCCAGACUCCUACGGGAGGCAGCAGUGGGGAAUUUUGGACAAUGGGCGCAAGCCUGAUCCAGCCAUGCCGCGUGCAGGAUGAAGGCCUUCGGGUUGUAAACCGCUUUUGUACGGAACGAAAAGCCUUCUUUUAAUACAGGAGGGUCAUGACGGUACCGUAAGAAUAAGCACCGGCUAACUACGUG
rnacentral:rRNA from 1 species